GUACGCAGUUACAGCUGCGCCAUAGUUCUCCGCGCUGCUGAAGUUUCUCCGGUCGCGUUUGAAACUUACCAAAUAGAAGAAUCGUACGAAUCUCUCGCAUGUUUAGUCCGGUUUCCAGUUUUGAUUGAGCAAGAACUCGGGAAGUAGUGCUCAGUUUGAUCUAAAAAUUUUGAAACAGUGCUUAACAAUCAGUAGCUACUGAAAGACCUAUAUCAUUGAAAAUUUCGUGAAUUCUGUAACUCGGAAAUUUUUCCAUAAGCAGUGGUGAACAAUGUUUUUACCGUGACCAUCAUGUUUUGAUGCUCCCGAUCUGCCCGCGGAGUGAGAGGUGUAAUCUAGAUUUUGGUUUAAAAUUAUACUUCGUUGCCAUUUCAAGGACGGAUUUAUUGAUAUAUUUAGAACGACGGAGUUGCCUAGUUCUUCGCGAUACGGUUCAACUUUUAACUACUACGACUACGCCGUGCUGCAAAAAAUCGUAAACAGGCUUUCAAUCAGUCACCACGUCGGCUACUUCGUUGCAGUACGCAUUCAACUUCCAACCACGAAGGGCAGGAGUUAUACAUAGCAUCGCUCAAUUCGUUCAUAG
rnacentral:misc_RNA from 1 species